AGGGAAUCUUGCGCAAUGGGCGAAAGCCUGACGCAGCAAUGCCGCGUGCGGGACGAAGGCCCUAGGGUCGCAAACCGCUUUCAGUAGGGACGAAAAUGACGGUACCUGCAGAAGAAGCUCCGGCCAACUACGUGCCAGCAGCCGCGGUGAUACGUAGGGAGCAAGCGUUGUCCGGAAUUGCUGGGCGUAAAGGGCUCGUAGGUGGUUGAGUAAGUCAGAUGUGAAAUCUCAGGGCCCAACCCUGAGCCUGCAUUUGAUACUGCUCUGACUAGAGUCCGGUAGGGGAGUGCGGAACUCCUGGUGUAGCGGUGAAAUGCGCAGAUAUCAGGAAGAACACCGACAGCGAAGGCAGCACUCUGGGCCGGUACUGACACUGAGGAGCGAAAGCAUGGGUAGCAAAC
rnacentral:rRNA from 1 species